AAGGCAUGCCCCUUGUUUUCUAAGAAUUUAAAAUCUACUGGCAAAUACAGACAAAUUAGAGACUGUAAUAAUUAUUAGAACAGUCAUUAUAUAUUUUGUUCUAUCUCUAAAGUGUUCAAACUUAUUACUAUUUAUUGUUAAAAAAGCAAGGUUGACAAUUGAUCUUUUACUCAAAGUAUAUAAUUCUAAUGUAAUAUAAAGUAAUUAUGCAGCUUCAAAUAUUUUAGUUUAGUUAUUUUUGUUGUGUUUCUCUAUUUGUUUGCUUUUUCCAUUUUAGUUUAUUGAUUCUACCCGACUGCUUUGUAGUUGAAUAAGAUCUUGACUAUGGAGUUGAAUGUGGAACACUGUAGGAUUUUUCUACAGUGCAGAAUGAUCUAGGUGGCAAGGAAGUCUGGAUAUUUUCCUGAACCUGAAGUGAAAAUAUAUGAAAAUUGAAGAACUCACUAAAAAGUAAACUGAGAUGUAUUGGACCAAAAACAUGGAAAUGUAAACUAUCUCAUAUGGUGAAUAUGUGGUUGGCACCAAACAGAUGCUCUAUAAAUCUUUAUUGAAUAAAAUCACCAACCAUGUUUAUUGAUUAGAGUGAGGUGUUUGCAAACAGACAGUGAGUAUAGGAGAGUAGAUGAAAAGCAGUCCCAAAUGUCAUCCACCUUUUCAUCUAAAAGAGACUGAAGAAAAGACGGGUGACUCCUCACUUUCCCAUACCACAGACUGAGCGCCCCAUCUGUUGGAUGAAACUCUUACCCCGAUCUGAAAAAUCUAAAGUUCAGAUGUAAAGAUCAAGAUGAUACUGGAACCAUCUCAUAGUCUCCAAGCAUAACAUUAGAUAAUUCUUAUAUACAUUAUUUAUUAUGUUCUUCCCCCCAAAUACUCCAGGAAUGCAGAGAUGAUAUUCUUAUAUUCAUUUUUCUUUUGUUUUGUUUUUCAAGAUGGAGUCUCACUCUGUCGCUCAAGCUGGAAUGCAGUGACACGAUCUCAGCUCACUGCAACCUUCGCCUCCCGAGUUCAAGCAAUUCUCCUGCCUUAGCUGCCUGAAUGGCUGGGACUACAGAAGGCACUAUUUCAACACCUUUGAUGUAGAGAUUAUUGUGUUGGGAUCUUCACAUUUGAAGGAGUUCACCACAUGGUGAGAAAGACUGAUCAGAAUCAUUACAAACCAAUGUGCAAUCUCUCAGCAAAUCCUCAAGCAAAACCUCUGCCUCCUGAUCUCCUGCCUCAGCCUCCCAGGAUUCCUUCAACUUUAAUUGUGGGGGUAAAAUCAGGCAGCCACUGAAGAUAAAAUACAGUCCCUGGGAGUAAUCACAAUUCACAAUGCUGUUUUCUUUUGUGAAGUGGACAUGAAAGAGUUUUUUGGUUUUUUUGUUUUGUUUUGUUUUGUUUUUUGUUUUUUUUUUUUUUGCGCAAGUGGUCAGAAGUUGUUAAAAUUGUCCCCAUUCAUGGGUACAAAUUCUGGAGAUAUAUAAUGAUAGGUGGAAAAAAGAGAAACAAAAUUGUAUAUAAUUUAUUAUUUCAAUAAAAAUACACAUCCAUAUAACUUUUAUAGAAAGAGAAGACAUAAUACUGUUAUACCCAAAUAGCAACAAUAGUUAACUCUGAGAAGUAGCAUAUUAAUUGUUACUUUAUCCUUUGUUCUUUUCUAUGACUCCUUCAAGAGAACAUAUCUCACUUUGGUCAUUAGGAAAACUUUUCUUUUCUUUUAAAUAGUUCUAAAUUUAUAUGCCUAGUCUUAUUCAAAAUGCAACUGAGAGCUACUUCCUACUGUCCCCCUAAAUCUUCAGUUAAUCUCAUAAGAUAUGAGAACCACCCUGAUUUUAACAUUAGAGAUUGAGCCAUCUGUCUGAAUUAUGAAUUCUUUCAACAUUUAACUCAUGCUUACUAUGUGUCACGGGUAUUUUGUUAGACACUGGAAAUACAAAAAUGUAUAUAUGCAGACAAUUAUAAAACAAUGUAGAAAUGGAAUAAUAAAAUUAUUCACAGGGUAUUUUUGGAGCCUCAAGAAAAAAGAGCACCUAACUGAGUCAGGCUGGAGUUCACAGAGGACUUUCUAGAAAACAUGUUAUUUGAACUGGAGGGAGAUGAAGAGGAGAUGCUCUAUUACUCCGGGUUGAGAGGAUAGUAUUUGCAAAGACUUGGAGAUAAUCAGCAUGAAAGUGUAUGCAGGGAAACUUCACCUACAUUCUGUUCAUUUGACAUUGCUAAGAUGUGAUUCCCCACUCUUCAGUACAAGCUGCCUCCUCAGAUGUCCAGUGUUGCCAUCUCAUCUCCUAAACUGAGUAUGCUGUGUCUGUGGACAGGCUUUGACUGUGGGUAUCUUGGCCAGCAUGUUACAGUUUACCUACAUUUUGCUAGGAUCAUAUAAAUUCACACUAAUUCCACUAUUUGUUUGGGUUUUGGCCCCAGAAGUAUCUGUAGUGUAUUGGAUUUGGCAAGAUUUUACUCAAGUCAACGUGAUAUUUCGUUGGGCAACUUGAUCCUCUGCCUGUUCCCUAUCACCACCGUAGGUUUUAAGAAGUAUAUAUACUGGGGGAGAGCAAUGGUUCUCGAAGCCCAGUUCCUGGGCAAGCAACGUCACAUUCUAAAACUUGUUAGAAAUGAAAAUUCUCAGGCACUCUUGAGACCUACUCAAAUAGAAACUAUGUGAGUGAGCUCAGCAACCUGUGGCUUAACAAAUACUUCAGGUGAUUCUAAAAAACACUAAAUUUUAAGAACCAUUGAUGUAGAGAAAAUGGACAGGCAAUAAUUACUAGUAUUGAGUGUUGAUCUCAUGCCACAUGUAAUUUCCUGGUGACCUUGGUUGGAUCAGGAAGAGCUGUAAGAGGAGUUUCUGUAUGCAGUAGUUGAAGGUCUUGUGGGGACAUUUUUUCUUAGAAACUUGCCAUACAAAGCAUCUGCAGAAAUAGUGAGAUUGCAUCCAACACCAUCUUGGAACUUAUUGGAAGUUCAGAAUCUCAGAUCCUACAGUCCAUUUCAGGCCUAUUGAAUCAUAAUGUUUCUGCUAACUGAUCCCCAGUUGGUUAAAUUCAAGUUUGAGAAGUGCUAUGGCUAUACUCUUAUUUCAGACCUCAAUGCUUGCUUAACUACAAUUAUUUAAACAGUACCUGCAUGAGUUUUGCCUUAUUUAUGCACCAUGGUUACUAUUAUUUACUUAAAAUUUCUAUGUGAACCCAACUCAUACCUUAAAAAAUAAAUCGUUUUUAAAUUAGACUAUACCAAUUCCAUUGAAGGAAAAGCAUCUCAAUUUGCUUCAAGUAGAGAAUAAACAUAAAAAUACAGUGAAAAGUAAGAAAUAUUACUAAAUUAUAGCUAGAUAUUGUUGACUGCCAAAGGUUGCUAUGCCUGUAUUUCCACUGUGAAAAGGGAGAGGCACAAGUAUUAAAGAAAUGUUAAAACAUCUAGCUUAGAACUCAAACUCUCUCUGAAAAAGAGGACCAAAGGAGUAUUUGAAAGGGGAUUCUCAUUGUUAUGCCAUUCAAGAUUAGGGAAAGCUCAAUUCCUGGGAAACCUAAAAUUAUCCAAUUUACUACCUAAAAAUAAAGUCCUAGACCCCUGUCAACAAUUCUGUAGGAAACAGUGUUUCAGUACAGUGCUUCUCAAACUUUAAAGUGCAUUAAAAUCCUCUAGGGAUCUUGUGAGAAUGAGGAUUUUUAUUCUAUAGGUUUGGAAUAAACUGCAGGAUUCUACAUUUUUUAACAGGCUCCAAGGUGCCAUUGUUGAGGGGACCAUACUUUGAGUAGCAAGGGUGUAGAUAUUACCACCUAAAUAUGAAGAAACCACAAAGAGUUGCACAAGAAAAGGCAUUCAAUGAGAAAAGAGAGAGGUGAUGGAUGAAUACUUCCAUAUAGGCACCUGUAUACUUCUGCUGCUGAAGGUUCAACCCCACAUCACAGGAUGCAAUUGUGCCUUCAAUACCUCAAAGGUGGCAAGUAGCAUUGGUUGGAGUUGUGAGGAAAAUGAAGAUCUCUCAGGUUUGGAUUGUUGCAUCAACAAAGAAAUUGGACUGGGCACAGUGGUUCACGCCUGUAAUGCCAGCACUUUGGGAGGCCGAGGUGGGGGGAUCACCUGAAGUCAGAAAUUUGAGACCAGCUUGGCCAACGUGGUGAAACCCCAUCUCUACUAAAAAUACAAAAAAUUAGCCGGACGUGGUGGCGCAUGCCUGUAGUCCUAGCUACUUAUUUCGGAAUCGCUUGAACCUGGGAGCUGAAGGUUGGAGUGAGCCAAGAUCAUGCCACUGAACUCCAGCCUGGGUGACAGAGUGAGACCUUGUCUCAAAAAAACAAACAAAACAAAACAAACAAACAAAAACCAGAGUAAUUAGCUGGUCCGCGUUUAUACCUAAUGGUAGCUGAUUAUAGUGACUGGAGGCCCGAAACCAUUAAACAUCCACAUGAACACACUGCAGUCUGUCUUUUCAAGGGAGGCCUAAACUGGCCUGUCAAGCAUAGCUCAGUUGGACAGUGACAAAUUUUCUCAAAAAGGGGCCCAAGCUGUUCAAAACGGCAUUGGGUUCUAAGAAUAGUUCUAACACAGCAGCUCUGACAUUCUUUAACCCCAUUGUUCCCCCUAAAAGGGAUUCUACUUUUGGAUGACCCAUGCCUCUCAAUUUGGUCUUAUCUAACCUCUGAAUUUUAGUCUAGCUUAGUGCAGAUUGAUUGCACAGCCCUGUGCAGCAUUCACCCAGAGCACAUUUAUUAAGUUCUUACCAUAUGCAUCAAAAAAGUUGGAAGUGGAGGCAACAAAGCUCAGAUGAAAAGCUCUGUUCUUCACACUGAUGGAAAAUAGCAAUCCCAUCCCCUAAGUCUACACAGCCUGCAGCAGCCAAGAAAACCUAGAUCUGGCACACUUUACCAAAAAGAGAAAGCAAAACCAAUUCAGGACUCCAAAUCCAUGAGUCAUGAUGUUUGGCCACUAAUAGGAGCCUAAUUAGCCUGAUGAUUUUCCUCUUCAUGCCCUAGAGUCAUGGCCUUGGGCAUAAUCAUCACAGACACCAGUCCCCUAAAUUCAAAAUUCGUUUGUCAGCUCUCAGCCUGUGUCCAAUGAUGCAAAAAAAAAAAAUCGAUUUUGAUCUCUUCAGGCAAUCUGCCAGUCAGCUUAAUGUAAAAUAAUCAGCCAAAGUGAUGUUUAACUGAAUUGACUAGGUAUUUGGUAACUUUCUUUUUCUUCUUUGAAUUGACAGGUCAAAUCAGUCAGAAGAAAUUAUCAGCCUCAGGCAGACAAAGUCAAAAUUGUUGUCUCCUCUGCACUUUUUCCAAAUCACCCACCACAAAGUCCAGGUGCCUUUUAUUGUAUUGCUAAAAUAAGAUGCAAGAGAGGCAGAGAUAAAUCGGUUUACUUAGCAAAUAAUUAAAAAGAGUUUACUGUGUACCAGGCACUUUCCUAAGCACUUCACAAACAUUGACUAGUUUAAUUCUCUUAAGAAACAUAAAACACAUUAUUAACCCCAUUUUGCAGAUAACGAAACAAAUUCACAUAGAGAUCAAGUGACUGGAUGAAAAGCAGCCAGCCAGUGGGUGCUGGAUCCAGAUAUCACUCAAAACUACCCAUGAUCUUAACCAGUAUUCCUAUACUCCACUGCCUCGAACCCACGGUAGUCAGAGAUCACACUCCUAGGCCUGCCAAUGCUAGCCAGCUGAAGGUCACAGAGCUCAGUAGUGACCAAGACAGUAAGACAAUCUUGCCAAAGAUCCUUGGUGGGAUCAGAGUUGUCCUCUUCAAAGACUGACAAGGUCAUUAUUUAGGGAAUGGACGUAA
rnacentral:lncRNA from 1 species